UUGCAGGAAUUCUGCUGAGCAGCUGGCCUGAGCCAAGGGUGCCUCUUGCUGCUGACACACCAUGCAGUGAGCUUACCUGGCUCAAGCAGUUCACUGCUUUGGAAACAUGUGCCCUUACAUCAGGUCCUUUUGUACAACUUACCUUAGGG